rnacentral:lncRNA from 10 species
GCCCAGGAGAAGCAAGGGCUUAGAGAAGAAUCCAACUGUGACAUCGAGAAGAGCCUGUCCAGUCCCUUCCCAGUAGUGGCUCUGGGGCCCAGGCCCGGCUUCCAGAAGAUGGGGCAGCUCUACUCUGGGGUCAAAGCCAACUACUGCUUGGCUGCCAGAGUCUCUCCUGGAGGCGGAUCUUAGCUUUCUGUCUCUGGAAGUUCCUACUCCACCCCUGACCUUCAGCCAGAAUGGAAGGCAAGAUGGGGACACAGAACGGGUUUAUCAUGACGACGAAGACAAUUCUAAACAAGGGAGGAGGGCGUGGUCUCCACCUCUCCUUCCCCAUUCAAUCAAACAUCAAGCGCUGACUCUGCUAUGUGUCCAGCCCUUAGGAGUGAGAGAGACAUGAGCCUGAAGGCUCAGACAAGCUCCUUAACCCCGCUAAGCCUGCUUCUCACCUGCACAAUGGGGAUAAUAAAACCUACUUCCAAGGGGAAUUCAGCGAUGAA